GAUCAGCCCUUUACUAAAGACAUAGGAACAAAAUAAAAUAACAAGCCACUGCUGCGGUAGCCUCGCCCACAUGAGUCUGACCAAUCACGCUGUUCUGCGGUGUAGUAACGUCACAAAGCUUGACGUCAGACGCUGGAAUGGUUCGCCACGUGCUAUAAAACACCGCAGGUGAAUGGAGUUAUCUCUUAAUGACGACUCGUCCUUGUCCGGAUGAACGGCCGAGAUUGACAGAUACGUCGACAUUUUUGCGCACGGAGACUAGAAUGAAGUUGUCGAGCGUCGAAGUACAGAACUGGAACCGAAAGACAAGAUUGAUCGUCCUGAAGAUCUUCAACAUACCCUCCACCAUUUUGAUGGUCCGUUUGCGGUCCUCUUCCACCUUUUUGGAUCUUCUGAUUCUACACUGUUUUGGAAGUUGCAGUUGCUGCCAAAAAAGACUACCUGGAUUCCAGCUACAUCUGCUGUACUAAUGUAUGGAUGUCCAGUACUGGAAAAUGUGUAACCCUGCCUUUGUACACUUUUGUAAAUGUAUAUUCUUUGUACAUUUCUCUUUGUAACUGUAUAUUCUCUGUACAUUUUUGUAAGUGUAUAUUUUGUACAUUUCUCUUUUUGUAACUGUAUAUUCUCUAUACCUUUUUGUUGCUGUAUAUUCAUGUUCAUUUUUUGUAUUUGUACAUUUUGUUAAUGUAGCUUGAUCUGUGUAUGGUUAACUAUUUUGCUUUUGUUGAUGUAUAUUUGUGUGAUUUUUGACUGUUAUGUGACAGGUUUGUAUGCCACACCUUUCACUGACUGUUGUUGGUCUGUUUGCACUUGUGCACCCCUGGUCUUGUUUACCUUCAAUGUGGUCGUCUUUAUCUGCAUGUUGCAUGUUUCCGUGGUGUUCAGUUGGUCAGAUGCUCUGAUUGCCUUGUUGGAAUGUUACUCUGGUUGUUACUCUACUACAGGGCUCUAAUUUUCCACCUGUGGAUCAGAGUACAAGUUGAGGGCUUGGGCCAUUUUGGUGAGAAGUCAACAGUGCAAAUAUUUAAAUGUUUGACUUGACAGUUGUUUGAUCUAAAUUACUAUUCAGCUCAUAGAAUAUUUUAUUUAUUUUUGUGGAAUUUCUAUAUAAACGUUAAACUCGUUUCAGUCCAAUAUCUGCUAUUUAUGAUGUUUGGUCUUAAGUUGUCAUUAAUGUCAUUAAACAGUUUAGACAGAUCUGGCUUGUCUCCCUCUGCCAAGUUCAUUUCCUACUAAAGACUUGUUUGCCCUUCUGAGGCAUUUAGAUGGCGUUUUGGGAGGCCUCCCGGCACAGGAAUACUUUCCUCUGCAAAAUUAUUCGUUUUACUGGAUACAUGCAGGGCUAAGUUGUCAAAUUUAUAAAUAGGCUAAGUAAGUUGGUAGGCAUAAGGUUAGAUUGCGCGCUUAUGCUCUUUACUAGAAAAUGUACUUGGCAACGAGACAACCAAAGACCUGGUAAAGAUUAAGUCAAUGUAUACAACGUCUGAAAAAUGUAUUGACAACUUCUGUGGGCUGAAUAGUAGAAGAAUGUGACUGAUUUGGACUUUUGGUAUUAAGGCUAAUAGCUGCUAUAUUUACCAUUUGUUGAAAUGCAGUUAAAUCUGAGUAGUUUUUUUUUUUUUUUUGGUUGUUUUUUUUUACCCUGUAUGCAGAUUUAGGAGCAAACUUUCCUCCCUUGUUACUACUCCAACAUUUAGCCCUUUGGUGUGUCACUGGUGUUAAAUCUGGUUGUGUUCCAUGAUCAGUGUUGGUUGGUGGUGGAGGUGUCACAUGAGCUGUUAAUAACUGUAUGUGUGUAAGAUCUGUCAGUUACACAGGUAAGACUCCUUGGCAUUUCCUGCUCCAGAGGUGUUGGUGUCGGAUCCACAUAAGCCCUGCAAAUCUGGUGUCCUGGACUGUAGAGUGAAGGUGGACCAACUCCUUAGUGACAAGAUCUGCUCUGCCACAGGAUGUCUUCAGGAUUCUGUUGACCAAGUAUGGAAGAGUUAGAGCCUGGAUAAAGUUGUUUAACCCAGAAUGGGAGCCCUCACUGUCAUUGGAGAGGGUUUCUGCUGCAGGGUUCAUCUCAACUGUCUGUUCACACAACAGACUGAAGUUGAAGUUGGCUAAAUACAUUGGCUGGACUUUAUCAAGCACCACUGAAGAACAGGAUCACAAAUGUGGAGCUAAAAAGGAGACUCACCAUGAAGAACACCAUUUAAAGAAGACUCAGACCCGAGACUACAGAACUUGGAAAAGCAGCAUCCAGGUCAAGUCAGGACUGCAGCCAAGAUGAGCCAGACUCCUCCUUACUGGGUGGCUUGGGGUCUUGGCCCCCUAAGGACACAGGCUCGCUACAGCUAACAGGAGAAUCCAUUCUAAUCUCUGCUCGGAUGUAUAUGGAUUUUUAUUUUUUUGUUUUUAUGGUUAGCUGUUGAAAUCGUCAUGACAUUUCACCAAUGACCUAAGAAUUUGGUUGUCGGUCACUGAUUUAUACGACACGCUUGAUCCAAGAUUUACGCUAGCUUUGCUUUAGUCAGUCAGAGUUCAAAGAGCUGGAUUUCCUUCACUUUACACUUACCCUACACCACUGUGCAUCCUCUCCACUCCUUCUUCUUCUUCUUGGUGCUUAAAGAACUCCAGUCUUGAAUUCUUACUGAGUGCUUGUACCGUGGAGGCUGUUUCUAAAAUCAGACCUGGAUCCCUCUGAUUUUGUGACCUGGUUCACCCAUUGUGCAACACCAUCCUCCAAAAAUGCUACAGUAGUCAGUGUGAAGACCUAGUGAUCAAGCGUUUGUAGUUUAUCAGUGACCUUUGACCAAAUUAAGGACUAAAUGAGAUGCCAUGGUGAUUUAAUGGUUGGCUUAUUUUAUCUAUUUUUGGCUGCUUUCUUUCAUUUAUUUUGUGUCAAGACCCCCAUUACUUUUAGUUACACUUUCAUUUAAUAUUUCAAAAUAAACAAUAUUGUACUUGACAUUCUUGCACUGUUUUCUUUCACCCUUCCUCUAUAACUGAAGUCCAAGGAAUUAAAAAAAAAGUUUAAGUUGUAAUGAGUUGUAGUUCAAACUAUUUCCACCCUGU